rnacentral:tmRNA from 4 species
GGGGCUGAUUCUGGACUCGACGGGAUUGUGAAGCCUUAGGAGCAUGCCGAGGGGCGGUUUGCCUCGUAAAAAGCCGCAAAAAAAUAGUCGCAAACGACGAAAACUACGCUUUAGCAGCUUAAUAACCUGCUCUUAGCCUUCUCUCCCUAGCUUCCGCUCUUAAGACGGGGAUCAAGAGAAGUCAAACCCAAAAGAGAUCGCGUGGAUGCCUUGCCUGGGGUUGAAGCGUUAAAUCUAAUCAGGAUAGUCUGUUAGUGGCGUGUCUGUUCGCAGCUAACCGGCGAAUGUAAAAACCGACUAAGCAUGUAGUGCCGACGGUGUAGUAAUUUCGGACGCGGGUUCAACUCCCGCCAGCUCCACCA